AGAGUUUGAUCCUGGCUCAGGAUGAACGCUAGCGGCAGGCUUAACACAUGCAAGUCGAGGGGUAUUUGUCUUCGGAUAGAGAGACCGGCGCACGGGUGCGUAACGCGUAUGCAAUCUACCUUUUACAGAGGGAUAGCCCAGAGAAAUUUGGAUUAAUACCUCAUAGUAUAGCGACAUCGCAUGAUGAUGCUAUUAAAGUUACAACGGUAAAAGAUGAGCAUGCGUCCCAUUAGCUAGUUGGUAAGGUAACGGCUUACCAAGGCUACGAUGGGUAGGGGUCCUGAGAGGGAGAUCCCCCACACUGGUACUGAGACACGGACCAGACUCCUACGGGAGGCAGCAGUGAGGAAUAUUGGACAAUGGGCGCAAGCCUGAUCCAGCCAUGCCGCGUGCAGGAUGACGGUCCUAUGGAUUGUAAACUGCUUUUGCACAGGAAGAAACAACUCUACGUGUAGAGUCUUGACGGUACUGUGAGAAUAAGGAUCGGCUAACUCCGUGCCAGCAGCCGCGGUAAUACGGAGGAUCCAAGCGUUAUCCGGAAUCAUUGGGUUUAAAGGGUCCGUAGGCGGUUUAGUAAGUCAGUGGUGAAAGCCCAUCGCUCAACGGUGGAACGGCCAUUGAUACUGCUAAACUUGAAUUAUUAGGAAGUAACUAGAAUAUGUAGUGUAGCGGUGAAAUGCUUAGAGAUUACAUGGAAUACCAAUUGCGAAGGCAGGGUACUACUAAUUGAUUGACGCUGAUGGACGAAAGCGUGGGUAGCGAACAGGAUUAGAUACCCUGGUAGUCCACGCCGUAAACGAUGGAUACUAGCUGUUGGGAGCAAUUUCAGUGGCUAAGCGAAAGUGAUAAGUAUCCCACCUGGGGAGUACGUUCGCAAGAAUGAAACUCAAAGGAAUUGACGGGGGCCCGCACAAGCGGUGGAGCAUGUGGUUUAAUUCGAUGAUACGCGAGGAACCUUACCAAGGCUUAAAUGUAGAUUGACCGGUUUGGAAACAGACUUUUCGCAAGACAAUUUACAAGGUGCUGCAUGGUUGUCGUCAGCUCGUGCCGUGAGGUGUCAGGUUAAGUCCUAUAACGAGCGCAACCCCUGUUGUUAGUUGCCAGCGAGUCAUGUCGGGAACUCUAACGAGACUGCCAGUGCAAACUGUGAGGAAGGUGGGGAUGACGUCAAAUCAUCACGGCCCUUACGCCUUGGGCUACACACGUGCUACAAUGGCCGGUACAGAGAGCAGCCACUGGGCGACCAGGAGCGAAUCUAUAAAACCGGUCACAGUUCGGAUCGGAGUCUGCAACUCGACUCCGUGAAGCUGGAAUCGCUAGUAAUCGGAUAUCAGCCAUGAUCCGGUGAAUACGUUCCCGGGCCUUGUACACACCGCCCGUCAAGCCAUGGAAGCUGGGGGUGCCUGAAGUCGGUGACCGCAAGGAGCUGCCUAGGGUAAAACUGGUAACUAGGGCUAAGUCGUAACAAGGUA
rnacentral:rRNA from 1 species